rnacentral:lncRNA from 1 species
AUCUAGCAUCUUAUUUAGCAUUCACUCAAAUCACAAUAUUUUUGUAGAUAGUUCUUAAAUUUCUUCCAAUCCUCCUCCAUCCUCUCUUCUCCCAGGUCACGAAUUCUGCCGGUCAUUUCAGCCAGUUCCAUGUAGUCUAUCAGUUGCAUCUGCCAUUCUUCCAGUGUGGGUAGAUCUUGAGUUUUCCAAUGUUUUGCGAGAAGUAUCCUUGCUGCUGUUGUUGCAUACAUAAAAAAUGUCUGGUCCUUCUUUGCCACCCCUUGGCCGACAAUACCCAAAAGGAAAGCCUCUGGUUUCUUAGUGAAGGUAUAUUUAAAUACCUUUUUCAAUUCAUUAUAAAUCAUUUCCCAGAACGCCUUCACUUUAGGGCAAGUCCACCAGAGGUGGAAGAACGUUCCCUCACACUCUUUACAUUUCCAACACUUAUUAUCAGACAGGUGGUAAAUUUUUGCAAGUUUGACUGGGGUCAUAUACCAUCUAUAAAUCAUUUUCAUUACAUUUUCUUUCAAAGCGUUACAUGCAGUGAAUUUCAAUCCAUUACUCCACAACCUUACCCAGUCCUCAAACAUAAUAUUAUACCCAAUGUCCUGUGCCCACCUUAUCAUAGCCGAUUUAACCGUUUCAUCUUGUGUAUUCCAUUCCAACAGCAAGUUAUACAUCCUUGAAAGUACCUUAAUCUUUGGUUCUAACAAUUCUGUUUCUAGUUUCGAUUUCUCCACCUGGAACCCUAAUUUCUUAUCAUUUUUAAAAACUUCUUUAAUCUGAGCGUAGUGUAACCAAUCUCGCACUUUGUCUUUCAUUUUCUCCAAACUCUGCAAUUUCCAAUUGUCUCCAUCCUUUUCUAGUAUUUCCCAAUAUUUUGGCCAUCUAGCCUCCAUAUUGGGUCUUUUUCGGGCCUUAGCUUCCAGAGGUGAAAGCCACCUUGGUGUUUUAUUUUCCAGCAAGUCUUUAUAUUUUAUCCAGACAUUAAACAAUGAUUUUCUGACAAUAUGGUUCUUAAAGGCCUUAUUUGCUUUAACCUUGUCAUACCAUAAAUAUGCAUGCCAUCCAAAGGCAUUGUUAAACCCUUCCAGAUCCAACACAUCAGUGUCCUCAAGAAGUAGCCAGUCUUUUAGCCAGCAGAACGCUGCGGCUUCAUAAUACAACUUUAAGUCUGGCAGGGCAAAGCCCCCUCUUUGUUUUGCAUCAGUUAAUAUCUUAAACUUAAUUCUGGGCUUUUUGCCCUGCCAGACAAACUUAGAAAUGUCUCUCUGCCACUUCUGAAAGCACUCCGUUUUGUCCAAAACCUGAAGUGUUUGAAAUAAAAACAACAUCCUUGGCAAUACAUUCAUCUUAAUAGCAGCAAUUCGGCCUAACAAAGAAAGUUUCAGUUUUGACCAACUAUCUAAGUCUCUCUUAAUUUCUGACCAGCAUUUUUCAUAGUUAUCCUUAAAUAGACUUAGAUUUUUUACUGUUAUGUUUACCCCUAGGUAUUUUACUUUUAACCACAUUAAGUUCCGUCUCAUUCUGAAACCGUUCUGACUCUGUAUCUGUCAAAUUUUUCCCCAAAACCUUAGUUUUCUGUUUAUUUAAUUUAAAUCCAGCCACCCGACCAAAGUCAUUUAUCAGUUGUAAUACUCUUUUCGUACUGGGCUCUGGCUUCUGCAGGGUCAAAACCAGGUCAUCUGCAAAAGCUUUUAAUUUAUAUUGUUUCUGACCGACCUGAAUUCCUUCCACCAACCGAUCCCCUCUAAUCAUGUUCAAUAGCACUUCCAGAACCGAGAUAAAUAACAAAGGGGAAUAGGGCAACCUUGUCGUGUCCCUUUUUCAAUUUUGAACUCUUCUGUAACCACAUUAUUAACUAUCAAUUUAGCUUUCUGUUCUGAAUAUAUCGCCUCAAUCCCAUUCUCAAAACCCCGUCCCACUCCCAUCUCUUUUAAAUUUCCCUUCAUAAAUUUCCAGGAGAUAUUGUCAAAGGCCUUCUCCGCAUCUAUAAAAAUUAAAACUGCUUUUGUAUUUAUAUCUGUUUGCAAAAGUUCCAAAAUGUCAAUGAUGUUCCUUGUAUUAGCAAACAGAUGUCUACCUGGGAGAAAGCCGGCCUGGUCCUUAUGGAUUACUUCAUUUAAAACUUUUUUAAAUCUACUUGCCAAAAUGUCUGCAAAUAUUUUGUAAUCCACAUUUAAAAGGGAGAUGGGACGGUAGUUCUUAAGUUGUGUCUUUUCAGCUUCCGACUUUGGUAUUAAUGUGAUGAACGCUUCCUUCCACGACUCCGGUGCCCUCUUCCCCUCCAUAAUUUCAUUGCUGACCUCCAUCAAAGGUUGUAUCAAAUAGUCUUUUAAUGUCUUAUAGUACUUGGAGGUCAGCCCAUCUGGCCCUGGAGAUUUGCCGAGUUGCAUGUUCUG